AUUGAACGUUGGCGGCAUGCCUUACACAUGCAAGUCGAACGGCAGCACGGGAGCAAUCCUGGUGGCGAGUGGCGUACGGGUGAGUAAUGCAUGGGGAGCUGCCCAGUCGCGGGGGAUAACAACUGGAAACGGUUGCUAAUACCGCAUACGCCCUAAGGGGGAAAGGUGGGGAACUUCGGUCCUACCGCGACUGGAUGCGCCCAUGUGGGAUUAGCUAGUUGGUGAGGUAACGGCUCACCAAGGCGACGAUCUCUAGCUGGUCUGAGAGGAUGGCCAGCCACACUGGAACUGAGACACGGUCCAGACUCCUACGGGAGGCAGCAGUGGGGAAUAUUGCACAAUGGGGGAAACCCUGAUGCAGCCAUGCCGCGUGUGUGAAGAAGGCCUUCGGGUUGUAAAGCACUUUCAGUCAGGAGGAAGGGGUGAUGGCUAAUAUCCAUCAUCAUUGACGUUACUGACAGAAGAAGCACCGGCUAACUCCGUGCCAGCCGCCGCGGUAA
rnacentral:rRNA from 1 species